UACAGAGGGUGCAAGCGUUAAUCGGAAUUACUGGGCGUAAAGCGUGCGUAGACGGUUAUGUAAGUCGGGUGUGAAAGCCCCGGGGCUCAACCUGGGAAUGCCAUUCGAGACUGCAUAGCUAGGGUGCGGAAGAGGGAAGCGGAAUUUCCGGUGUAGCGGUGAAAUGCGUAGAUAUCGGAAGGAACACCAGUGGCGAAAGCGGCUUCCUGGUCCAGCACCGACGUCAGGCACGAAAGCGUGGGGAGCAAACAGGG
rnacentral:rRNA from 1 species